rnacentral:tRNA from 1 species
GAGCUUGUAGUAUAGUUGAGUAUGGUAAAUUGCAAAUUUAUUGGUUUGGAGGUUCU